rnacentral:ncRNA from 1 species
GCGAUUGAGGCGCAAUAAAAAUAAGUAGCAUUUUUGAAGCUCCCAAGAGUUUUUGAUGAAAUGUGAAAGGGUUUGUUGCCGAAGAAAAACGAGGCUUGGGGUUUGUUUUUUCUGGUUGUAUUAUUAACAGUAAUAUGACUGUCAUCAUUAUUUGAUGGAGUGCUUUCGUA